UACGACGGUGUGUCCAGGAUGUCUGGAAGAUAAAGAAAAAGCAGUGGUGAUAUAGAGGAGUCUGCUAGGAAGCACAAAGCAAUAACCAUGGAAACAAAGUUCUAGAGAACAAGGACGAGAUCAUGGAAAAUGUGAAGUCUGCUGUGCCAGUAAAGUCAACAAUAAUAUCCAAAGUCCAUGGUAAAGUGAUAGAGGAGAUGGAGAAACUUCUCAGUGCGUGGAUGCAGGAUCAGCAUCAGUGUAUAUCUGUGUCAAAGACUGCCAGAAUGGACAAAGAAUUAUCUGAUUUACAUAGUCUCUUCUGGUUCUCUGAUGGUGUGAUUCCACUGAGCUUCCUAAAAUCAAUUGUUCAUCUGCUGGAUCAAGUUCAUCUCCUCCUGGUGCCUGCCUCCAGGGCGGAGACAGCCUGCAUGCACGGAACACCAUGAAGGGGGACUGGUGAGGCCAGAGUUCCGGAGGGCUUUGGGACAGCCAAUGCUCAUCUUCUGCUGGCCAUCUUAAAUUGCUUCAGUCAGAAGUACGCUCCACCCGGGGCUCCCAUAAUCCUCUGUGGGCUAUAGAAUGUGUGAGUUUAUAAACCUGCAUCCUGGCAAAAGAGGUGUAGGGAAGGGUUACAGAGGAAUCAUACCUUUGCCUUUCUAUUCCAUGUUCCCAGCUUUGGGCACUCAGCAGAUACUCAGAGUGUGAAUGAAUGACUGACACACGGAGAACAAACAGAAUAGCUUGACUCACUCUCAGUAUAAUGUUCAACAAAAG
rnacentral:lncRNA from 1 species